rnacentral:tRNA from 1 species
GAUGGGGUAUUGAGCAGAAAUCGGUUCACAGCCAUAAACCGUGCAACGCGCCUCAUCA